rnacentral:lncRNA from 1 species
AUAAAAUAAAACACCUACUAGAAAAAUUAUUCAAUGAGAUUUGAGUUUAAAAGAGUGUAGUCCUUUUAAAUGUAAAAUGUGCUAAAAUCCGAAUGACAUUUACAAAUGAAUUCUAAUGCAUGACUUCUUCUGGGGUCUGAAAGCUGCACUGUGAGAGGUCCCAUGGCAUACCUAUAAAGAAACAUCGCUCUCUACCUGCCAUAAUGAGGGUUUUCAUUCCCUUCAUGAAAAUAUUCCCUUUUACAAAUUGCCAGCCAGGCCGAAUUGGACCAUUUGUUCUAGCUCAGCUCUGCCUCUAUCAUUUUAGAUAACUCUAUCCAUAGCUAGAUCAUCAAUCUAAACAUUAGAUUAAUAGACAUUUGUGCUUUGUUACCUUUACAUAUCAGAGAACAGGACACAUUCCAAUGAUGUUGGAAAAACUAUUACUCACAACCUGUGCAAUCGUUUAGGGAAAAAAGCCUGAACGUGAAGAAACUGUACUGGCUUCAAGCUGCUCUGGGUAAGGGAGCUGUGUAUAGUAGUCUAGUUUCCUUAUAGCUCAUGCAACUUUCCCAUUCGUCAAAGCACAUACAUGGACACAUACCUGUGGACCCACACCCACACUCAAAACUCAUGUAAAAAUAGGGUGACAGAAAAUGAAUAAUUCCUCUUACCAGAUAAAGUCAAACAAUAAUUGACAGAAUCUCUCAGAACAGGAUGUUCAGCCAUGUGGAAGCCCAGCCACACUAAAAGGUAACUGCUCUGUGUUGCCCUUUAAAGUUUGGUACGUCACAAUCCCUUCAUGACAUCAGCCCUCCACAUCACCAGGGUGGACAUCUAAGGCUGAAGGUCUGGCCGCAGGUAAGAAGAGGAAAGGUCUCUUCCACUGCUGUGCCAGGCAGCAUGCAACCCAUUUGAGGGGCAAAGAGGCGAGGCGAGCCGGCGCGGGCAUUUAGCUCCGUGGUUCCGGCGCCGGCCUCGCAAGCGCAAGGGCCCGAGUUCGAGUCCCCGCGCGAAACAAGCCCGGGAAAAAAAAAAAAAAAAAAAAAAAAUGAAGGCGACCGUAAUUCUUCGUUUUUGGUUUUUCGGUUUCUGUUCUUUUGGGGUGUUUUUCCUUUUCUGCCGGGGAUCGACCU